rnacentral:rRNA from 1 species
CCUACGGGUGGCAGCAGUGAGGAAUAUUGGUCAAUGGACGAGAGUCUGAACCAGCCAAGUAGCGUGAAGGAUGACUGCCCUAUGGGUUGUAAACUUCUUUUAUAUGGGAAUAAAAUGUUCCACGUGUGGGAUUUUGUAUGUACCAUAUGAAUAAGGAUCGGCUAACUCCGUGCCAGCAGCCGCGGUAAUACGGUGGAGCCGAGCGUUAUCCGGAUUUAUUGGGUUUAAAGGGAGCGUAGGUGGUUUGUUAAAUCAGUUGUGAAAGUUUGCGGCUCAACCGUAAAAUUGCAGUUGAAACUGGCAGUCUUGAGUACAGUAGAGGUGGGCAGAAUUCGUGGUGUAGCGGUGAAAUGCUUAGAUAUCACGAAGAACUCCGAUUGCGAAGGCAGUUCACUGGACUGCAACUGACACUGAGGCUCGAAAGUGUGGGUAUCAAACAGGAUUAGAUACCCCAGUAGUC